CCUACGGGAGGCUGCAGUGGGGAAUAUUGGGCAAUGGGCGCAAGCCUGACCCAGCAACGCCGCGUGAGUGAAGAAGUAAUUCGUUACGUAAAGCUCUAUCAGCAGGGAAGAAAUACUGACCUCACGGUCAGCAGACGGUACCUGAGUAAGAAGCCCCGGCUAACUACGUGCCAGCAGCCGCGGUAAUACGGAGGAUGCGAGCGUUAUCCGGAUGUAUUGGGUUUAAGGGGUGCGUAGGCGGACUGUAAAGUCAGCGGUAAAAGCCGGGGGCCCAACCCCGGCGAGCCGUUGAAACUGGCUGUCUUGAGAUGUCGAGAGGUAUGCGGAAUGCGCAGUGUAGCGGUGAAAUGCUUAGAUAUUGCGCAGAACUCCGAUUGCGAAGGCAGCAUACCGGCGGCGAUCUGACGCUGAGGCACGAAAGCGUGGGUAUCGAACAGGAUUAGAUACCCUUGUAGUC
rnacentral:rRNA from 1 species